rnacentral:rRNA from 1 species
UAGUCAUAUGCUGUCUCAAAGAUUAAGCCAUGCAUGUCUAAGUACAUACUGUUUAUAAAGUGAAACCGCGAAUGGCUCAUUAAAUCAGUUACGGUUCCUCGGAUAUUCUUUUUUACAUGGAUAACUGUGGUAAUUCUAGAGCUAAUACAUGAACAAGUGUUCCAACCUCAGCUUGCUGACGGAAGGAUCGCAUUUAUUAGUACAAGACCAAUGAUUCUUAUUCACCUAGAACCCUGUUCAGUGAUUUCGGUCGCUGUCUAAGGACUAGCAGUGGGGAUCUUAGCAACUUCGGUUGCAUUUCUUGUGAUGACUCUGAAUAACUGAGCAAAUCGUAUGGCCUCUGAGCCGACGAUGUAUCCCUCAAGCAACUGCCUUAUCAACUGUCGAUGGUAGGUUAUGCGCCUACCAUGGUUGUAACGGGUAACGGGGAAUUAGGGUUCGAUUCCGGAGAGGGAGCCUGAGAAACGGCUACCACAUCUAAGGAAGGCAGCAGGCGCGCAAAUUACACAAUCCCAGUACGGGGAUGUAGUGACGAAAAAAACAAUACGGGACUCUAUUGAGGCCCCGUAAUUGGAAUGAGUACAAUUUAAAUCCUUUAACGAGGAUCUAUUGGAGGGCAAGUCUGGUGCCAGCAGCCGCGGUAAUUCCAGCUCCAAUAGCGUAUAUUA